CUGCGGAGGAUCAUUAUC
rnacentral:rRNA from 1 species